ensembl:lncRNA
CACAGUGCCAGGAGUUGUGCCAUGUAAAUCAACGCUCCUUCAACUGCAUUCGGAGCAGAAGCGAAGAUUAUCGCCUGAGAAAACACUUGAAGUUUGUCCAUAGAGCGACUUCUGAAACUGACCAUCAAAUACUAAGAAGGAUUGUGUCCAAAUGGCCGUGGUGCAAGUUGUACCUCUGGGUCUUGGUUGAAAUCAUGUUCUGGGGGCUCCUCCUUUCCACCUGCUAGCAUGAAUUAAAGGCAGAAGAAGAAAGGCAUCAGUGGGUUUAUUUAAAAGAAUGUGGCAGACUGUAAAAAGUGCAACACAAAACAAUGAAGUGGGCCCUCUUCUGCCACAGCCUAACACAAAUUUAGUGGGCCCUCAGCCAGAUCCAUCAGUUCUUGAGCCAGUGGUUCUACAGGUUCCAACUGAUCCUCAACCAAAUCAAUCCAAACUUAAAUCAAUGGCUCUGCAGGACCCAGAUGAUCCUCAACCAGGUCCAUCUGUCCUUGAGACAGCAGUUCUGCAGGAUCCAGAUGAUCGUCAGCCGGAUCCAUCUGUUCUCAAGCCCACGGCUCUGCAGAAUCCAGUUGUUCCUCGUACAUUGCCACCUUGGCCUGUCCAGAGUUCUUUCAGGCGAAGAAGACGCAUUGGAGAUCCAGUUCCAUACAUCCCUCCAGCUACUCUUCCAUUUGGUGAACUUUAUGAAUGGGGAAGGUUAAUUGGAAAAGGAGGCAAUGGCUCUGUGUAUGAGGGGAUCCGGAAAUCUGAUGGCCAGAAGGUCGCCAUCAAAUUUAUUCCAAAGAGGACAAGCGACAAUUAUAUAAAAAUUGCAAGUUGGCAAAACUUUAUAAAUAUAUCUCAAUUAAUCAAAUUUAUCUAA